AGCGAACGCUGGCGGCAGGCCUAACACAUGCAAGUCGAACGAACUCUUCGGAGUUAGUGGCGGACGGGUGAGUAACACGUGGGAACGUGCCUUUAGGUUCGGAAUAACUCAGGGAAACUUGUGCUAAUACCGAAUGUGCCCUUCGGGGGAAAGAUUUAUCGCCUUUAGAGCGGCCCGCGUCUGAUUAGCUUGUUGGUGGGGUAAUGGCCCACCAAGGCGACGAUCAGUAGCUGGUCUGAGAGGAUGACCAGCCACAUUGGGACUGAGACACGGCCCAAACUCCUACGGGAGGCAGCAGUGGGGAAUCUUGCGCAAUGGGCGAAAGCCUGACGCAGCCAUGCCGCGUGGAUGAUGAAGGUCUUAGGAUUGUAAAAUCCUUUCACCGGUGAAGAUAAUGACUGUAGCCGGAGAAGAAGCCCCGGCUAACUUCGUGCCAGCCGCCGCCGUAAAAC
rnacentral:rRNA from 1 species